UGUUACGGAUUUCCAGAAAGCCCCAUAAUUGGUGGAUUGCUCUGGAUGCGUCGUGCGUGUUAAUAGCCAUAGCGUUUUUUUUAAUCCCCUUAAUUGCCGUCUGCCUGCGCGAAUCACGGGUCCUUGAUGUCCGUGAAAUACUCCUGGCUGCCUGGCUGUCUGGCUGCCCGGCCUCCGCAAUCAGCGAAUGCGAAUUGCGAAAGGAUGCAGUUACUCCAUGGUCCGGAUGUGUUCGCACUCGUGUAAACAUGCGUUUGUCAUUAGACACACCGGAAAUAUUGACAGCAUUCGACACGCGGCGCACGACCAGCCGGGCAUCCUGCGAAAGGAACUUGCCACUUUAUUUGCCAUUUGAUUUUUUAAAAUUAAGCCGUCGAUCUCUUUUCUUUGCCACAAUUUAUAGGCACUUUGAUUGCGUAUUAGAAAAAUAUCUGGCCUGAGUUCUGGGAAAUUGGUUUAGUCUUGCACUGCAAAAUGCCACGCGCUUUCGAACAAUCGAAAGAAUUCUGCGGCUAUUGGAAUGUUUUCUAAGGACAUGUAAUGCGGGUAUCUCUCCAUGGAUUGUGGGAGAAUAUUUGUAAAUUUGAUGUAAUCCAACGCCUUAAUUUCCACUAAACGCACAAAGAAAAUGCAAAUAAUAUGCACGAGAAAGUAUUUGGACAAAAUUUCGAGCAUGGAUCCACAAAAACAAAUUAAACGUGGGAAAAUAUGAAAAUAUAUUUUUUUGCUUGUAAUCCUUCUCAUAACCAUUGAAUUAGUGGACAAUGAGCCGGAGACAAUGGAUCGGUGUGAAAAUAAAUAUUCACCAGGUGUAAGCCCAUUAACAGCACAGCAAAACACACACA
rnacentral:sRNA from 1 species